AGCUUUGCGCAGUGGCAGUAUCGUAGCCAAUGAGGUUUAACCGAGGUGCUAUUUUCGCUAAUUGAAAACUUUUCCCAAUACCCCGGCAUGACGACUUGAAAUAUAGUCGGCAUUGGCUAUUUUUGACAGUCUACAGAC
rnacentral:snRNA from 1 species